AGUGGAUUUUCAAACAAACUGAACCUCAUCUGAGGUGAUGUUACGUUGGAUCUCGCGGCGGACGGGUGAGUAACACGUGGGCAACCUGCCUGUAAGACUGGGAUAACUCGCGGAAACGUGAGCUAAUACCGGAUAAUACUUUGAACUUCAUGGUUCGAAGAUGAAAGGCGGCUUUUAGCUGUCACUUACAGAUGGGCCCGCGGCGCAUUAGCUAGUUGGUGAGGUAACGGCUCACCAAGGCGACGAUGCGUAGCCGACCUGAGAGGGUGAUCGGCCACACUGGGACUGAGACACGGCCCAGACUCCUACGGGAGGCAGCAGUAGGGAAUCUUCCGCAAUGGACGAAAGUCUGACGGAGCAACGCCGCGUGAGUGAUGAAGGUUUUCGGAUUGUAAAACUCUGUUGUUAGGGAAGAACAAGUCGGGUAGUAACUGACCCGACCUUGACGGUACCUAACCAGAAAGCCCCGGCUAACUACGUGCCAGCAGCCGCGGUAAUACGUAGGGGGCAAGCGUUGUCCGGAAUUAUUGGGCGUAAAGCGCGCGCAGGCGGUCCUUUAAGUCUGAUGUGAAAGCCCACGGCUUAACCGUGGAGGGUCAUUGUAAACUGGAGGACUUGAGUACAGAAGAGGAGAGUGGAAUUCCACGUGUAGCGGUGAAAUGCGUAGAGAUGUGGAGGAACACCAGUGGCGAAGGCGACUCUCUGGUCUGUAACUGACGCUGAGGCGCGAAAGCGUGGGGAGCGAACAGGAUUAGAUACCCUGGUAGUACCACGCCGUACACCAUGAGUGCUAGGUGUUAUGGGGGUUUCCGCCCCUUAGUGCUGAUGUUAACGCAUUAAGCACUCCGCCUGGGGAGUACGGCCGCAUGGCUGAAACUCAAUGAUUUAUAGCGG
rnacentral:rRNA from 1 species